rnacentral:lncRNA from 12 species
UUUCCUUCCUCUUUUCAAGCUUAUUGAAGGAGCCAAAUCAUUCCAAUUCAGCCUGGACUGACCUUUAUGUGCUUCAUUUUAGUUUAAAAGAAACCCAAACUUCAGUUCUCUGGGAUUCUGGGCUAAACAUUAAGGAAUCCAUUCAAAGGUUGUACCUUCCUCCUCAUGGUUAACCAUUUCAAAG